rnacentral:rRNA from 1 species
UACGAAGGGGGCUAGCGUUGUUCGGAAUUACUGGGCGUAAAGCGCGCGCAGGCGGUUUUUCCAAGUCAGUGGUGAAAGCCCGGAGCUCAACUCCGGAAAUGCCAUUGAAACUGUAAAACUUGAGGACGAGAGAGGUGAGUGGAAUUCCCAGUGUAGAGGUGAAAUUCGUAGAUAUUGGGAAGAACACCGGUGGCGAAGGCGGCUCACUGGCUCGUUUCUGACGCUCAGGCGCGAUAGCGUGGGGAUCAAACAGG